rnacentral:rRNA from 1 species
UGCGUAGGGUGCAAGCGUUAAUCGGAAUUACUGGGCGUAAAGCGUGCGCAGGCGGUUCGCUAAGACGGAUGUGAAAUCCCCGGGCUUAACCUGGGAACUGCAUUUGUGACUGGCGGGCUAGAGUAUGGCAGAGGGGGGUAGAAUUCCACGUGUAGCAGUGAAAUGCGUAGAGAUGUGGAGGAAUACCGAUGGCGAAGGCAGCCCCCUGGGCCAAUACUGACGCUCAUGCACGAAAGCGUGGGGAGCAAACAGG